ensembl:lncRNA
GUAUGGGCUGAAGGAGAAAGUAAAAGAAACGGCGUUAAGCUACCUUGAAAGUUCUUCUGUAUCUGUUUCACUUUGUUUGCUCUGAUGUAAGAAAUACUUCAAACAUCAACUGGUUAGCAGUUAUUCCAGGUUUUCUACUAUCAGCUGAGGCCUAGAAAGCCAAAACCACCUUUUAAAGCUGUUUCCUUCCUUCCCAUCCUCCUUAGGCUUUCCUGUAGGUGAAAGGAACCUUCAAAUGAUGUGUUUAGUUCUGAGAGGUCUUCGCGCUCGGGAACAGCACAGCUGAGGAUUCCCUGAGAUGUAGUAUUUACUUAAAUAGAUGACAGGAUGGUUUCCGUGAAGUUUUCCAGUCCCUUUCAGACCCUCUCUCACAGUACAUACAUGACACGAUCCAACACUGUUCUUUGUCUUGAGCCGCUGCGGUCUGCCUUUCUAGUUCUUUGUCUUUUGUUUUUGUGUUUGUUUUUGGUUUUGUUUCUGGUCAACUAUUUUGCCCAAAUUGAGUGUCUGGAACAACUGAUGCCACUCUGAAAGCCGUCUGGUAACGGAGGGAUGUUCUUACAUGUUUUCCUAUUUUUUCCUCCUACCACUCAUCAGUUGGAGUUGAUAUUCAUGCUCUGAAUUAACAGAAGUUAGCAGCACCACCCACAUUUCAUCAUGACUGUACAUAUGGUUCAGCUCUCACCAACAACAGGGAUGAGUUUUUAUUUAGUAGCUGGAUGGGGGCAUUUCACUGAGAUUCACAGGCACACCAACCCAGAGCUACCAGCCCUCAGUCGCACACGUUGUUCUUGUCCUGUAACUGCAGUCUUAGGGUACCCAGCCUUUGGCUGAUUUCUUUGUCCUUCCUAUAAGUGGCUGAUAGUGUGUAAGGGGAGAGGCAGCUGGUCAAGGAAUAAUUACUCACCUGUGCAGGUCUUAGUCAUAGGGAAUGAUGCUAGUGUAGUGGAGAGUAGGCAAGCACCUUGUGUACGUGGAUGAAAUUCCUGCUCACAACCUAGACUGGCUCCAUUGCGUGAGGCUUACCUCUGGCAGGGAAGUAGCAAGGGCACUGCUCAAGCUUCAGGGAGAAGAGGUAAGCUCUACAGCCCUAAUGAUGACCUGAACCAGGAUAAGCCCUGUUCAGCUUGGUCUUUCCCCUUAUGUUACACUCAGCCCUGAACAUCCCAUCUGUGUUCUGCAGCUCCUGGAUUUACUAAGCCAGGUCUUCUCCCCACAGGCAAGCUUCUACUUUGCUUCUCAUGUGACCCAGUCAGCUUUCUCUCUUUCAUCUUGCCAAACCUUUACAUCUCUCCCAUUUGUGCUCUCACUGUAACUCUUCCUCUGGGGUUUUCAGAACAGCACGUGCAUCUCAUUGCUUCUCACCUCAGCAAGGGGAGUUGGAGUACAGAGGUCACAGCCUAAUAUUGUUUUCUGCCAGACUGGUUCACCUGGACGUGUCUGCCAGCUCCUACUUUGCUGCUGGUUCCCAGCCAGCUCCCAGGAACUGUGAGAGGGGCAAGGUGAGAGGAAAAAAGAGGAGAAAGCAGCAGCAGCAAGACUUGCUCUGAAAAAAAAUGUGGAAAAACUGCUGUAGGCAGGCAGGCAGGCAGGCUGGUGUGGGCUGUGGUUUCUGCUCCUGUCCAGAGGACCACGGUGAUGCACAGUGGGCAGGCAGCCCACCUGUCCUCUGCAGUGCAGUGGGGAGUCCCCCAGAGAAAGAGAGGUGGGUUAGAGUGAUGAGGGGAGCAGGAGAUAGCUGGCAGAAGGAGGGCUCUAACAGCACUUCAGGGCCUGGCAGUCAGCACCCACUGUGGAAGCAGCAUGGGAUGGCUGCUAAUGCCAGUCCUGCUGCUGAGAACAGCCCUCCUUCCGCUUCACCCUUCCACUGCUGAGCUCACGGCCCAGUACGUCGUACUUGAGUAUUUUUUUUCCACAUAAAAGCAUUCUUUCUGGGCUAGCAGGCCAGAAGGCCUCCUUUUUCUCCCCACUGUCAUACACUCGCCCAACACUUGCAGCUGCUGUCCCUGAGAACCCGGGGCUCAGCACGCUCCUACAGCCUGCAUUCUCAGAAGUCUUAUUUAUGGCCACAUCUAAAUAAGAUGCAGAUUGAUUAAUUUGCAUAGGUGCCAGACACAGAGGUACACGAAACUGGGCAGGGAGGCCCAGAAGUGAGGGAGGUGCCGCAAGUGAGAGAAGAUGGGGCCCGUGCUCUGUGUAGCAAGGCUGGUGGCCAAGGGAGAUGGGGUUACACCAAUCCAGAGGCAGCCUCAGAUCAAAGCUGUGAAAGGAGUUGUAAAGCUAUUCUGCUCGCUGCAUGCACCGCUUUGCUGUAAGCAAAACUUUCUCAGUGGUCACACCGCUAUGCAUGUGAAGAAGUUGCUGCGUGAAGGCUCUGGAAAGGAGCCGGGUGUGAGAUACCACAGUCAAACCUGGCUGGAUUCAGCUCUGACAGUUCUGCAUUACCCAACUCUCACCUCCUCCCCCUCUGUAGAGGUCCCUGUGGCAGACCACGCUGGUACCACACCUCCCAUUCUUCAGAUCGCAGCCCAGUGCUUUAGCUUAAGCCAGUAAUAAAGGCAGGCCUGUGCAAUAGCACCCAGGUGUAAAUGAGGAUGUCCCCCAUGUGUGAAUCCAGCUCAGCUACCUGGCAAAAGAUAGCAGCUUUCUAUGACUGAGAUAUCUUUGUCCGUUUCUAGGAAAGGGGACAUCAGCAGAAGAGCUUCAUCAGAGCUCUGCAGAAACUCGGCUCCCCACUGAGAGCAUCUGCACAGGGCUCAACAUGUUGUUUGUGUUGUCUUCAUGCCUUCAGCUGAUUCAUCUUAAAUCUCUCAAGGGGCAACAUGGCAAAAGUUUGCCAAAAAAAAAAAAAAAAAAAACCAAACAAAAAAACCAAGGGAAAUUUUGCCUGUAGGCCCAGGAUAACCCUGAGAAAUGAUUGUGGAGGCACCUGUUAGCAGUGAGGUUACUUACAUCCUCUUUGUUUUCACUGCUUCUCUUUGCUAAGGCACGCUGGAAAUUCUGCUGUCGGAGGAUGACAGCAGUUUGGGGAUGUGGUUAUCUGCCUCCACUUGCUGCACUCUCAGCACUCCCUCUCAGUGGCUGAGUGGGAUGGCUAGAAAAUAGGGAGGAUGUGGCUUCUGCAUUCUGAAUCAUGACAGUUUUCACCCAGUGCUCUUAUCUGCAGUAAUUAAAAAAUCCAGCCAAGUAAUUAGACUGUAGCUGGUCUCAGGCUCCAUGGGCUCACAGUAGCUUCUUAAAUUUCAUACUCAUAAUAAUUAAUUUUUUUUUGUUUAUUUUAUUUUCUUUUUAAUCCACUAAUCUGAUACUAAAUGAAGGGCCAAGCUGAGGAACAGCAUUUUAAAAGUCAUUCUGUUACUUCCACUUCUCUUUUCAUUUCUUCCCUGAGGAGCUGUGAGUACCACGCUCAGUCUUUUGUAAAACCUUGCAGCAGGGUUGGAUGCAGGCUGCGUGCUGGGAAGUGUGAAGAUAUGUGAGUGAAGAUAUCCCAGCAAUCUGAUGUGGGCUGUUCCAACCUACCUUGGGACGGAGGAUGGAUGAGAUGGCCUUCAGAGAGCCCUUCCAGCCCUGUUUUCUCCAGUCUUUGUAAUAUAUAUGGGAACACGAUGACUAUAAAAGAGAUGGCUGCCUCUUGCUUCUGCAGUUGGGUCCCUUCCUUCCCAUGCCCACAUACAGUAGGUGAAUAAUGCAGUGAAUGAUGGGACCUGAGGGCCCCACAAGAUUCCUCUUGGUGAUCUCUGAGCUGAGUUCAGCUCUGUCUGGUGAUAGGAUUAUCUCAGUCCCUGAUCAAGACCAAACAAUGAUGCACUACACCCACAGAUAUUUCCUAUGAGAAAUUAUGCUCACAGCCUGAGGUUCAUGCUGUGCUAAGCACUAAAUCCAGUAGUGUGUGCAGAUCAGAUAUUGCAUUAAUAUCUAAUCCUGUGUGUAGCUGGACACCAAGCUCAAAUUCAUUUAUACACGUAAGCUUCACUUAAUUUAAUGAUGACCCUGGCCAAUGUUUUCUCACGUUGAAGAUUAGCUGGCGUGUCUGAACUGGGAGUUACUGCAGUAUUAAUCAUUUUCCUGGCUACUGCUUAGCUUAUCCCUGAAAUUCGUCUUCAAGCUUUGGACCACCUUUACCCUGGAAGCUGAACAAAACUGAAAUGCAGCAGUCUCAAAUUCUGUCGUAGCAAAUCUUAAACUGCCUACAUCUAAUGGAAAAAUCUGACAGGUGCCUUAUUUGGAACUGCUCUGGUUUAGGUAUGUCAUUCUAUUUUGUUCCCUUAAUACUUUUAGGUUAUGGUUUAGGGUUUAAUCUUCUGUGGAUUGCUGAGUUCAAUCAUAAUCUCUGACCGCAUCACAAUUAGUGGGGACCUCAUCUUCACGGCGUACAUCAGAAUUGGAAAUGAUCUUUUUAUCUUUUUUUUUUUCCUCUGUGAAGGUCUGAAAGCUAAGCAGAAAAGCAAUGAGAAAAGCCUACUUUCAUUUCACUGUGCAGGAUGGCACACAGAUGCGAAAUACUGGGCAGGAACAACCCGUAACUUUCCAGGAGUGAUUGGAGAGCUGCCUGAAGAACCCAGUGAAAGAUGCACUCAGACAACAUACGGAAGAAAAAGCUAGUGGCUUAUACCGAGGGUUAUAUAUAUUCACUACCAGAAGAGUAGUGACAGCACUCUGUCACCCGCCCCAGCUGAAUCAGUGCGUUAUUGUAUGUUGGCUGAAGGGAGGUUGUACUGAAGCUACCACAAAAGGGAUCCCAAAAUAAGCCAAACCUGCCCUUCCCCCCAGAGCCGCUUCUCACUGCUGUGGGAAGCAGCGGGCACGGAGGGCCUGCGCACCGUGGGCAGUGGCUGCAGGCCGUGUGGUGUAGGGCCUGCAAUUUCAGUGACGUUGGCAAGUUAAAGACACGCAAAAAAUGUUUAAAUCAUCCCAAGUGGUAAGAUAACAGACGAAUUAGCUCCAUUCCAACAGCUAGUUGGAAUUCCUUAGUGUUAACGCUGUUGGCAUAGGUACUAAAUUAUUCAGGUUGUUCUGCAGAAUAAUCUGCUCUGUAUUUACAUGCAUUCUAAAUAUUUUAUUUAAAAUACUUUGAUACGGCUUUCCACGUUAGCUGCAUUUUAGUUUGUCUUCAUCUCUGCUCUCUGUGAGAAGUUGCUUUACCGUAAUUAAAACUAACCCUUACGAAAUGCAUUUAUCCAAAAUGGUUUCCUAGAAAUUUUCUCCUCCACAGACUACAUUACCCUCCCGGUAGUGCAGCUGGGGGCCGAUCUGCCCAGCCGGCAUAAAGAGGGAUGAUUUAGAUCACUGAGCUCCAGCUCUUGGGUAGUGCUUUUUGCCACCAUGAAAUGCCUCAGGAAUUAAGGCACACCAGAAAACUCACUCGAAUCGCAUUUUAAAAAGCGUUUUCCACCAGUCACUAUGUUAGCAGACAUUAUUGUCACCAGAAAGCCUCUGCUAAUCUUACAAAGCAUCUGCGAUGAAUAAUCUUCCCCUCCCCCAUUCUUAUUUGCUGCCAGAAACAGCUUAUAAAUGCUUACUUGAAAUCUCUGCCAAAUUUUGUUUUUAGGCACGCCGUUGUAAAUAGAGAGUAUUUCCCCCGAUCUGGGUAGGAUCCCUCUGGAUUUACACGGGCGCGAAUGAAGCCCCGGCUUUGCCUGGUCCGUUCUCAGCCGCCCCUCGCUGCCCUGCAGGCUGCAGCGCUGCCGCCUCUGCCGCUGGUGGAGGGCGAGUGCUCGAGCACAGCCCGUCCAUCGCUGACAAAUUAUUAUAAACAGAUUUGAACAAAUAUUUCUUUG